GGGCCGUUAGCUCAUCUGGUAGAGUGCCUGCUUUGCACGCAGGAGGUGACCGGUUCGAUCCCGGUACGGUCCACCA
rnacentral:tRNA from 1 species